CGUUGAAACACCGAUUCUCGUCCGACCCCGAAGUUAAGCAACAUCGAGCCAGCUCAGUAACUAGAUGGGUAACAGCUGGGGAAUAACAUGUGCUGUAA